CCUACGGGAGGCUGCAGUAAGGAAUAUUGGUCAAUGGACGCAAGUCUGAACCAGCCAUGCCGCGUGGAGGAUGAAGUUCCUCUGGAUUGUAAACUUCUUUUAUUUGGGAAGAAACUCCCGAUUUCCAUCGGGAUUGACGGUACCAGAUGAAUAAGCACCGGCUAACUCCGUGCCAGCAGCCGCGGUAAUACGGAGGGUGCAAGCGUUAUCCGGAUUCACUGGGGUGAAAGUGUGCAGAGGAGGCAAGGUAGAAAUCUCCGGGCUUAACCCGAAAACUGCAAUUGAUACUAUUUGUCUUGAAUACUCUGGAGGUGAGCGGAAUAUGUCAUGUAGCGGUGAAAUGCUUAGAUAUGACAUAGAACACCCAUUGCGAAGGCAGCUCACUACGGAAAUAUUGACGCUGAGGCACGAAAGCGUGGGGAUCAAACAGGAUUAGAUACCCUAGUAGUC
rnacentral:rRNA from 1 species